AUAAUUAAUCGCCAUUAAUAUUCCAUCGACUUUUGAAAAUCCCUCAUGUGAUCUAUUUCAUGCGAUGAGAAUAUGUAUAAAUUGAGAUUGCGAUCGACCAUCCUCAGUCGGAUAAAUCGAGUGAUUCAAAUUAUAACACAAAAAAAAGUUAAAACUAGUUACAUUAUCUUUUUCAAUUUUUAUGUAUUAUUUGGCGGAAGAAACUUUGGUAAUUGGUAAGUAAAGUUCACCUCCUUAAUGUUAAUGAUUUUAAUAUGUUAUUAAGCUCAAAGUUCUAAGGAAUUUUCUAUAUAUAUACAUAUACAUAACUGUGUGCGUAUAUAUAUAAUAUACGUAUAACAGCCAAAGUUCAGCUCUCAAGUGUACGCAAAACUUUUAUGUUCAUUUUACGCUAUACCAGUAUGUUUCAUGAAUUUGUUUGCUAACAGUAUCGAAACAAAUAACAAGCAGAGGACGAGCUAUUCAUGAAUUGUUUUGCCAGCGUGUACGCUCCCAAUAUUUUCUAUUUGAGAAAACAUACUUGUUGCUAUUGCAACUACAAAUAUUUUUACAGUCGACGCUUUUGCCGUGAGUCAUUGGCUAACAUGUAAAAUCGAGAAAAAACAUGGUUUAUUGUGAUGGAAAUGUGGAAAACCGCAAAACCGAUAUAGAAGGGAAAAUAAAGGAAAGGAAGGUAGGGAUAAGUAGAAGCUUGGGGCCAAGUUUAAUUCACUGAAACCGAGCUGCUUGUAUUAUCACAAAACAAAAUUGCCAGUACGUCAUUUCCGUACUCUCGUCCUCGCGAAAAUGGUUUUGCUCGUGAAGAAAAAAACGAAGAGACAGGGAAGAGAGGAAAAAGCAAACGGAGAGCGCUUUUAAAAAGCUGGCGAACCGUGUGUUACCACAACGAGACACGCGGUGCUAUUUGUCGCUUUAAAUUGUGUCGCAACUCGUUUUUGAGAUCUUUGCCAGGGACGCGUUAAAACACGCUGCAAAUAUAUUUCUGGCUUUUCUGGGGUUUAACUGAAAUAUGGCAAAUAACGUUGUAAAACAUAUGUACUUAUGACUUACAGAGUAAUUGAGUGUACAAAAUAUAAUAGCCAGCGAUUUAGGGCUUUAAAAGAUCAAAAGAAAAGAAAAGAAAAGAAGAAAGAUAAUAUGUUGCGGCAGUUUAAGUCGAUCUAAGAAAAUAGAUAACGGGAGGGGAGAAGGGCAAAGCUAGUUAAUUUGGAAAGAAUCCAAGCGUCAAUUUCAAGCAUUUACAGAGAAUCAAGCGGGCUGGUUAAAGUCGUGAGUUGAGCAAUUAUCCCGCGUUAGGUUCAAUCAGAUACUUCUGGCUAGUGCACUUCUUUUACGCUUCUCAUCGCGAUUUUUAACGACUAACGAAGAUGUACGGCAGUCUGACCGUCUACAUGAAAAUGAUCAUGAUUGCGGUCUGUGUACCGCCUGCCCUUCUUUAUGUUCUUCCGUUAAAGACUGAUGCUAUAAACAACAGCUGUGCUGACUUUCAAGGAGAAACCAUUCGACAUAAUCUUACGUUUGAGCCGGGACCUUCGGUUUGCAGUUUCUGCGUCUGCUAUAAUUCGAGGCUGAAGUGGUGCCAGUCGAUCGUAUACGACCCGCCCGUAGAUCUUCCUUGUUGUUACGCCGCCUAAAACAUCUGCACGCCAGCCCGC